GAGUUUGAUCAUGGCUCAGGAUGAACGCUAGCGGCAGGCUUAACACAUGCAAGUCGAGGGGCAGCACGGGUAGCAAUACCUGGUGGCGACCGGCGGAAGGGUGCGUAACGCGUGAGCAACAUGCCCUAUACAGGGGAAUAAACCAGGGAAACUUGGUCUAAUGCCCCAUAGCAAUAAGAUAAGGCAUCUUAUUUUAUUUAAAGCUUCGGUGGUAUAGGAUUGGCUCGCGUGACAUUAGCUGGAUGGUGGGGUAACGGCCCACCAUGGCGAUGAUGUCUAGGGGUUCUGAGAGGAAGACCCCCCACACUGGGACUGAGACACGGCCCAGACUCCUACGGGAGGCAGCAGUGAGGAAUAUUGGACAAUGGAUGGAAAUCUGAUCCAGCCAUGCCGCGUGCAGGAAGACGGCCCUAUGGGUUGUAAACUGCUUUUCUACGGGAGCAAUAAGGUCUACGCGUAGACUGAUGAGAGUACCGUAGGAAUAUGCAUCGGCUAACUCCGUGCCAGCAGCCGCGGUAAUACGGAGGAUGCGAGCGUUAUCCGGAUUUAUUGGGUUUAAAGGGUGCGUAGGCGGCUUUUUAAGUCAGCGGUGAAAUUUUGCAGCUUAACUGUAACAGUGCCGUUGAUACUGGGGAGCUAGGAUUUGGUUGCUGUGGGUGGAAUGUGUGGUGUAGCGGUGAAAAUGCUUAGAGAUCACACAGAAUAUCGAUUGCGAAGGCAGCUCACAAAGCCCAAGAUUGACGCUGAGGCACGAAAGUGUGGGGGAUCAAACAAGGA
rnacentral:rRNA from 1 species